rnacentral:rRNA from 1 species
UCAGGCCUAACACAUGCAAGUCGAACGAGGGUAGCAAUACCCUAGUGGCGGACGGGUGAGGAAUACGUAGGAAUCUGCCCUUAAGUGGGGGAUAACCCGGGGAAACCCGGAUUAAUACCGCAUGACCUCGAAAGAGCAAAGCAGGGGAUCGCAAGACCUUGCGCCUUUGGAGGAGCCUACGUCGGAUUGCUAGUUGGUGAGGUAACGGCUCACCAAGGCAACGAUCCGUAACUGGUCUGAGAGGAUGAUCAGUCACACCGGAACUGAGACACGGUCCGGACUCCUACGGGAGGCAGCAGUGGGGAAUAUUGGACAAUGGGCGAAAGCCUGAUUCAAAGAUGCCGCGUGUGUGAAGAAGGCCUUCGGGUUGUCUUUAGGAGUAAGUUGGGAAGAAAAAGCUUCGACUAUAUUCGGAGCCUGAC